GGCCUGAGAGGGUGGCCGGCCACAGGGGCACUGAGACACGGGUCCCACUCCUACGGGAGGCAGCAGUUAGGAAUCUUCCACAAUGGGCGAAAGCCUGAUGGAGCGACGCCGCGUGAGGGAUGAAGGUCUUCGGAUCGUAAACCUCUGAAUCAGGGACGAAAGACGCGUUAUGCGGGAUGACGGUACCUGAGUAAUAGCACCGGCUAACUCCGUGCCAGCAGCCGCGGUAAUACGGAGGGUGCAAGCGUUACCCGGAAUCACUGGGCGUAAAGGGCGUGUAGGCGGACACUUAAGUCUGGUUUUAAAGACUGCGGCUCAACCGCAGGGAUGGACUGGAUACUGGGUGUCUUGACC
rnacentral:rRNA from 3 species